UCCACAAAAUUGGGCCCCCGAUUGAGCCUU
rnacentral:sRNA from 1 species